UUCAUUGAAGGGCAAAACCCGUGAAAGCGGGCGACGCAAAGCCACGGGCCUACAGCAGUGCUCCUGCCAAGGCAGCCGGGUUGCCAAA
rnacentral:ncRNA from 1 species